rnacentral:siRNA from 1 species
GGAAUUGAGUUAUAUGGUGGUUGU